AGGAUGGGCGCGCUCAGGUGCUUGCAGGAGCGCUGUGCGUGACUCACGCUGCGCAGGCGCUGCCUGCGGACAGCCUCAAAUGCGAUGGAGGCAGACGGAGAGAGUGGUACCUGUGCCUUGCCGGGAGACGCUUUUGCCAUAAAAUGACCCACUGCAAGUUAAACUGAAACGUCCUGAAGAUGAGCCUCGAUAAAUACAGCCCAGCUCGCCUCCAGGAAGCUGGAAUAAUCAUUAGAAAUUCAUUCCACGUCACUGCUUGGGAAGAAAACAACUUCAUCCCCGACCCCCAGAAGCUUCUAUUUGGCCUUGUAGAACAUUAACAAACAUAAAUGUUGUGUUUUCCUCUGAAAAAUACAUGCU
rnacentral:lncRNA from 1 species